rnacentral:rRNA from 1 species
GCAAUAUAUAAAUAAGUACAAAUAGAGGAAGUUUUAGAAGUGGAUAAUUAAUUACACAAGAGCUGGCGACCUCCGAAGACAACCGGAGAAAAUUGCACAAAACCACAUAGACCAAACUACUAAAGCAACGUCCAUCUCCAAGCUCUUCUCCAAUGUUAAAAAAAUGUUCACACAGACCGUAUCCGCACUCUCGUCUAAAUUUCAAAGAAUUUGCCGGAAAGCAAUAUUUCCAAAAUCUAUCUCUGUUUAUUUUCCAGUGAAAAAGGUUAAUGAAGGAUCAGUACGAUCACACGGGAUAGUAUCGACUAGCCUUUGCGCGACGGGUCCCCCACGAGUCCGCCUUAUCAACUGUUGACGGCCCGGUAAGUGCCGACCGUGGUGGCAACGGGUAACGGGGAAUCAGGGUUCGAUUCCGGAGAGGGAGCAUGCGAAACGGCUACCACAUCCAAGGAAGGCAGCAGGCG